CCACAGGCUUUAUUCAAAGUCACAUUGUUGUAUAUUUAAUUUUUUU
rfam:Loxodonta africana unplaced genomic scaffold scaffold_4, whole genome shotgun sequence.